GAUGAACGCUGGCGGCGCGCCUAACACAUGCAAGUCGAACGGUAAGCAUCUUCGGAUGUGUAUAAGUGGCGAACGGCUGAGUAACACGUGGGCAACCUGCCCUUUGCACUGGGAUAGCCUCGGGAAACCGAGGUUAAUACCGGAUACUCCAUAUUUGUCGCAUGGCGAAUAUGGGAAAGCUCCGGCGGCAAAGGAUGGGCCCGCGGCCUGUUAGCUAGUUGGUGGGGUAGUGGCCUACCAAGGCAAUGAUGGGUAGCCGGGUUGAGAGACCGACCGGCCAGAUUGGACUGAGACACGGCCCAGACUCCUACGGGAGGCAGCAGUGGGGAAUCUUGCACAAUGGGCGAAAGCCUGAUGCAGCGACGCCGCGUGCGGGAUGAAGCCUUCGGGUUGUAACCGCUUUCAGCAGGACGAGGCCGCAAGGUGACGGUACCUGCAGAAGAAGCCCCCGCUAACUACGUGCCAGCAGCCGCGGUAAUACGUAGGGGGCAAGCGUUAUCCGGAUUCAUUGGGCGUAAAGCGCGCGUAGGCGGUCUGUUAGGUCAGGAGUUAAAUCUGGGGGCUCAACCCCUAUCCGCUCCUGAUACCGGCAGGCUUGAGUCUGGUAGGGGAAGAUGGAAUUCCAAGUGUAGCGGUGAAAUGCGCAGAUAUUUGGAAGAACACCGGUGGCGAAGGCGGUCUUCUGGGCCAUGACUGACGCUGAGGCGCGAAAGCUAGGGGAGCGAACAGGAUUAGAUACCCUGGUAGUCCUAGCUGUAAACGAUGGACACUAGGUGUGGGGAGAUUAUACUUUCCGUGCCGCAGCUACGCAUUAAGUGUCCCGCCUGGGGAGUACGGUCGCAAGACUA
rnacentral:rRNA from 2 species